rnacentral:rRNA from 1 species
UAAGCAUAUCAAUAAGCGGAGGAAAAGAAACCAACAGGGAUUGCCUCAGUAACGGCGAGUGAAGCGGCAACAGCUCAAAUUUGAAAUCUGGCCCUAGGCCCGAGUUGUAAUUUGCAGAGGAUGCUUUUGGUGCGGUGCCUUCCAAGUUCCCUAGAACGGGACGCCAGAGAGGGUGAGAGCCCCGUACAGUUGGACACCAAGCCUUUGUAAAGCUCCUUCGACGAGUCGAGUAGUUUGGGAAUGCUGCUCAAAAUGGGAGGUAUAUUUCUUCUAAAGCUAAAUACCGGCCAGAGACCGAUAGCGCACAAGUAGAGUGAUCGAAAGAUGAAAAGCACUUUGAAAAGAGGGUUAAACAGCACGUGAAAUUGUUAAAAGGGAAGCGCUUGUGACCAGACUUGCGUCCGGUGAAUCACCCAGCUCUCGCGGCUGGGGCACUUCGCCGGCUCAGGCCAGCAUCAGCUCGCUGUCGGGGACAAAAGCUUCAGGAACGUAGCUCUCUUCGGGGAGUGUUAUAGCCUGUUGCACAAUACCCUUCGGCGGGCUGAGGUACGCGCUCCGCAAGGAUGCUGGCAUAAUGGUCAUCAGCGACCCGUCUUGAAACACGGACCAAGGAGUCAACCUUAUGUGCGAGUGUUCGGGUGUCAAACCCCUACGCGUAAUGAAAGUGAACGCAGGUGAGAGCUUCGGCGCAUCAUCGACCGAUCCUGAUGUUCUCGGAUGGAUUUGAGUAAGAGCAUAUAGGGUUGGACCCGAAAGAAGGUGAACUAUGCGUGUAUAGGGUGAAGCCAGAGGAAACUCUGGUGGAGGCUCGCAGCGGUUCUGACGUGCAAAUCGAUCGUCAAAUAUGCGCAUGGGGGCGAAAGACUAAUCGAACCUUCUAGUAGCUGGUUUCCGCCGAA